rnacentral:tRNA from 1 species
GGAGAUAGGAUGAUCAAGAAAAAGCUGCUAACUUUUAUCUUAAGCGGUUAAACUCCGUUUAUAUCUCU